rnacentral:misc_RNA from 1 species
AGGAGACAAAAUCACAGUGACUGAAGUUGCCCUUGGUUCCCGAUUGGAAGGACCGAGGUCUGAGGUCUGAGGAGAGAGAGAGAGAGAUUAUUAUGGCGUUGGAUUCGCUGAAAUGGGGUUACAUUCGCACCAUCACCGGCACAAUUCUGGGUGGUAUUCUUGGUUUCUACGUUAUGCACCGUGUUGAAGUCGCCUACAAGGAGAAGAUGAAGGAGAGAUUGAAACAAUAUGAGAGUGAACUGAAGAAGAAAGAGAAGUUGAAUCAGCUUGAAGACUCCAUCUAGUUUUUCUUUUCUUUUCUUUUCUUUCUUUUU